GAUGAAGAACGUAGCGAAAUGCGAUAACUAAUGUGAAUUGCAGAAUCCCGUGAAUCAUCGAGUCUUUGAACGCACAUUGCGCCCCCUGGUAUUCCGGGGGGCAUGCCUGUCCGAGCGUCAUUGCUGCCCUCAAGCACGGCUUGUGUGUUGGGCCUCCGUCCUCCUCCCGGGGGACGGGCCCGAAAGGCAGCGGCGGCACCGCGUCCGGUCCUCGAGCGUAUGGGGCUUCGUCACCCGCUCUUGUAGGCCCGGCCGGCGCUUGCCGACACAUCAAUCUUUUUUCCAGGUUGACCUCGGAUCAGGUAGGGAUACCCGCUGAACUUAAGCAUAUCAAUAAGCGGAGGA
rnacentral:misc_RNA from 1 species